rnacentral:lncRNA from 1 species
UGGAGGUUUAUCAUGGUAGUGAGACAAGUUAUGGAGGUUUAUCAUGGUAGUGAGACAAGCUAUGGAGGUUUAUCAUGGUAGUGAGACAAGUUAUGGAGGUUUAUCAUGGUAGUGAGACAAGUUAUGGAGGUUUAUCAUGGUAGUGAGACAAGUUUUGGAGGUUUAUCAUGUUAGUGAGACAAGUUAUGGAGGUUUAUCAUGGUAGUGAGACAAGUUAUGGAGGUUUAUCAUGGUAGUGAGACAAGCUAUGGAGGUUUAUCAUGGUAGUGAGACAAGUUUUGGAGGUUUAUCAUGCUAGUGAGACAAGUUAUGGGGGUUUAUCAU